UUCUGUUUUUGACCACUUCUUUCUUUUUAAUUUUCUUCCAUUAGUAGAGAAAAACAGAGCAUAUGGGGAAAAUAGAGCUUAACAGUGAGAACUUUAGCACAUGAGGUUCUGGGGCUAGAACUCAAGACCUUAUUCAUGCAAAUCCUGCACGCCAACCUGAGCAGAACCUCCCUGGCCACUAAUCAUUAAAACUUUUUAAAUCUAGUUCUUUUCUUUUUUCUAAAAAAAAAAAAAAAAAAAGUUUUAAAUUUUUUUUUUCAAGUUGAUAGGACAGAAAAAAAUGAAAGUGAAAGAGAAGAUAGGGGAGUGAGAGAGAAACCUGCAGCACUGCCUCAUCACUUGUGCAAGCUCCUCACUUGCAGAUGGGGACUGAGGACUGGAACCUGGGUCCUUAUGGAUGGUAAUGUGUGCUCAGCCAGGGGCGUCACUGCCCAACCCCCAGAGGAAAAGUGCGAUCCCCUUCCUUAGUGCCGAAGUUAAAAUAAGCCAUUACUGGGAGUCCGGCGGUGGCGCAGCGGGUUAAGCGCACGUGGCACGAAGCACAAGGACUGAUGUAAGGACCCCGGUUCGAGCCCCUGGCUCUCCACCUGCAGGGGAGUCGCUUCACAGGCGGUGAAGCAGGUCUGCAGGUGUCUGUCUUUCUCUCCCCCCAUUGUCUUCCCCUCCUCUCUCCAUUUCUCUCUGUCCUAUCCAACAACGACGACAACAAUAACUACAAUAAAACAAGGGCAACAAAAAGGGAAAGUAAAUAAAUAUGAAAAAUAAAUAAAUAAAUCAAGUUUAAAAAAAAAGCCAUUACCACAAAAUAACAGCACAAUAUGAAAAUUGGAAGUGAAGUUUAACAAACUAAUGGAAAAUGCCUAUUUUCUCUUAAGAAAAACUACUCAGUAUUACUGUUAUUGUUGGCUCCAUCACUACUGUGUGCUGAGUUUUUCAGACAGAGAGAGCGGGAAAGAGUGGGGUUGAAAGCUCCCCCAGUGCUGUGUGGGAUAGGCUGGAGUGCGGGCAUGUGCAGGACAAAGCAGGCUCACUGCCCAGGUGAGCUUCAUUGCCUCCAGGGUUAUCGCUGGGGCUCAGUGCCUGCAGUACGAAUCCACUGCUCCUGGAGGCUAUUUUUUCCCUUUUGUUGCCCUUGUUGUUUUAUCAUUGUUGUUGUUGUUGCAGUCUUUGGAUACGACAGAGAGAAAUGGAGAGAGGAGGGAAAGACAGACACCUGCAGACCUGCUUCACCGCCUGUGAAGGGACUCCCCUGCAUGGGGGGAGCCUGUGACUGGAACCAGGAUCCUUAUGCCGGUCCUUAUGCUUCGCGCCACAUGCGCUUAACUAACCCGCUGCGCUAACAUCCAACUCCUCAGUCACCUUUUAAAGUGAAAAUGAGUUGUUUUCUAGAUAUAGCAUAGAUUCAAAACAGUAGCCCAGUUAACUAUUAAAACCAAUAAGCCACACUAAUGAUUUAAUUGCUACCAUUUUAAUAAAAAAAAAUUGACAUGAUCUUCCUGUUAAACAUGAAGAAUACUUUGUGAUACAGUUCUUAUAAUGUGAUUACCUAGAAAUAUGCCGGAAGCAUAAAUCCUUUAAGAAGAAGAACUGAAAACUAUCCUGAGGAUAUAUAGUCCUUAGCAAGGAAGUAAAGGGUUAAAAGGAAGAUUGGUUCCAUCUGUAAUCCUAGUUAUGUAGGUAUGUACUUAAUGCUAUUAAAUCAGUUACUGUAUGUUUGACCUCUUGAUAUACUAAGCUUGCGCCUUGCAGAACAGCUGGGUCUGCUAAGAAUCAUUUCCCGGUUCUCUUCAUUGUAGAUCAGAUGACUCUCGCUUUAUCACCCUUGGAGGCCACAUGAAGGACAAAGCAGAAAGAUCCACACACAAAACUAAUGUUUAUAUGGGGGGGGGGGGAGCGGGGGUGGUAGAAGGUGGGAGAAACACUUGGCCCUGAUCUUCCAGUGAGUGUGACAGAAGAGAGACCAAUUGAGACUUGAAACCAGUGUGUUACUUGGACGGUUAUUUAGUUACAUCCUAUCCGUCUCUUAACUCUUUUUCUAUUGAACACAGAGGCUCCUUUGGCUGCCUUGACUUUUGUAAAUGUUUCACUCACUUAGUUGUGGUUUAUCAUUUGGACAGAAUGCAAUAUCGGGGAUAUUUCUCCCCUCUCUAAGGUCUCAAAGGAAAAUGACUUCUAUAUGCUUCAAAUCUGACACAUCCGGUGUACCGUAUUCUCUUCAUUUUAAGAAAUAAACCAAGAAAGAAAGCUGUUUCUCAGGAUUGACCUCUCUAAAGUAAACUGAAAAAUAAUUUAGACCUUGGGGGUGGGUGUGGUGGGAAACUCACCAUUGUGAUUUUCUAAUCUGGUAACAAACUCUUAAUGAGAAAUUUAAUACUAUAUUUUUAAAAAUAAUAACUUAGACUGGCUUUUUAUAGGUUUAUUGGUAGAGAAUCUUAUUUUCUGCAUAUCCAAAAUAUAUUCCAAUUAAAUCA